CCCCUGGUGGUCCAGUGAUCAGGACUCGGCACUUUCACUGCUAGGGCCCAGGUUCAAUCCCUGGUCAGGGAA
rfam:Ovis aries breed Texel chromosome 18, whole genome shotgun sequence.